UGCGUAGACGGUAAUGUAAGUCAGGUGUGAAAGCCCGAAGCUCAACUUCGGGACUGCACUUGAAACUACAUAACUAGAGUACAGGAGAGGAAAGUGGAAUUCCUAGUGUAGCGGUGAAAUGCGUAGAUAUUAGGAGGAACACCAGUGGCGAAGGCGACUUUCUGGACUGUAACUGACGUUGAGGCACGAAAGCGUGGGGAGCGAACAGGAUUAGAUACCCUGGUAGUCC
rnacentral:rRNA from 1 species